CCUACGGGUGGCAGCAGUGGGGAAUAUUGCGCAAUGGGCGAAAGCCUGACGCAGCGACGCCGCGUGAGGGAUGAAGGUCUUCGGAUCGUAAACCUCUGUCAGCAGGGAAGCACGGUCACUGUGCUAAUCAGCAGUGAAUUGACGGUACCUGCAAAGGAAGCACCGGCUAACUCCGUGCCAGCAGCCGAGGUAAUACGGAGGGUGCGAGCGUUAAUCGGAAUUAGUGGGCGUAAAGCGCUCGUAGGCGGUAUGUCAAGUCAAGGGGGAAAUCCCCGCGCUCAACGUGGGAACUGCCGUUGAAACUGGCAAACUGGAGUGUGUGAGAGGAUAGUGGAAUUCCAGGUGUAGGAGUGAAAUCCGUAGAUAUCUGGAGGAACAUCAGUGGCGAAGGCGACUAUCUGGCACAUAACUGACGCUGAGGAGCGAAAGCGUGGGUAGCGAACAGGAUUAGAUACCCUUGUAGUC
rnacentral:rRNA from 1 species